rnacentral:rRNA from 1 species
UACGGGGGGGGCAAGCGUUGUUCGGAAUUACUGGGCGGAAAGGGCUCGUAGGCGGCCAACUAAGUCGGAUGUGAAAUCCCCAGGCUUAACCUGGGAACUGCAUCCGAUACUGGAUGGCUUGAAUCCGGGAGAGGGAUGCGGAAUUCCAGGUGUAGCGGUGAAAUGCGUAGAUAUCUGGAGGAACACCGGUGGCGAAGGCGGCAUCCUGGACCGGCAUUGACGCUGAGGAGCGAAAGCCAGGGGAGCAAACGGG